ensembl:lncRNA
GUCCCGUUAAUUACCCUUGCUUGUCUAUGUAUUUAAGCCCCAGACUGUUCAGUCUUUGUUGUUCCAGUCACCAUUUGUUCACUAAAUGAAGUGAGUUUGAACUGCACCUCCUGUCUUCGCCUUCCUUGGGACCAGCUGUGGUGCCUGCGGCAGGGUGGUCGGCCUUUGGAGAGGUUGAAGAAUAAGAAUCAUCCUUAUCCAGCCCCUUCUGAAACACACCUUGCCUCUCCAGCUCGUCCCACGCCGGGACCCUCCACAUGCCUAACCAAAGGUUCUAAUCACCAAUUUCCUCCUGUGUUUCCCCGUGCUCGAAAAUGGACUUCUAACAGUGCUGACCUGGGGGCCAAAGUUGUGGACCCUGCAUUCUGAUCUGUCAGGUCUGCGCUAAAAUCUACGUUCCUUUUGCAGUCUCCAGUUCCAAGAGCCUUUCCAGUCCUCAGGACAGAAACGCCGGCUGCUCCACAGUCAAGUUUACCAGCCGCUCCAUGGUCAAGCUCGCUGGCUGCUCCACGGUCAAGCCAAUUCACUCCCAAGCCCUAUGAUAACAGGAGCUAUCUCCUUAACAUCAGCCCAAAAGGGAGAAUGAGGAGGAAAAGACUGUUGGCUCUAGCCACUGACCAGAGUCGUGAGAUGGCUUUAGCCCCUGACCAGAAUCAUGAGAUGGCUCUAGCCAUCUAGUCCGCUCCCACUCAAUUCACAAAGCUCAACAAGGCGCCAAACCCUCCUUCAUCUCCUCAGUCUCCAUCGCCUCCGCUGGUCCCUUCCAGCCCUCCUUCAUCUCCUGAGUCUCCUUCGCCUCCACUGGUCCCAUCCAGCCCUCCUUCAUCUCCUCUUCCCACGUCAAGCCCUGGGAGGGCUCUUGUUCCCAUGUCCGGCCCAGAGAGGGCUGUUGUUCCCAUGUCCGGCCCAGAGAGGGCUGUUGUUACCACGUCAUGCCCAGAGAGGUCUUGUGUCCCCAAGUCCAGCCAGGAGCGGGCUUUUGAGCCCAGCCCAGAGCCGGUCCCAGCCAAGGGACUCAGAGUCAAUAAAUUUCUGGUUGGGGGUUAUACGUCUCCGGCUGUAGUGGCCAGGCCAAUUGCCAAGGCCAAGGCCACGGAGGCUGUCCAGCCAUGGCCCUCUGAACUACCUGUUUCGCCAUGGUUUCCUGAACCGCCUGCUCCGCUAUGGCCUCCUGGACUGCCUGUUCUGCUAUGGCCUCCUGAACUGCCUGCUCCGUCAUGGCCUCCUGAACUGCUUGCUCUGCCAUGGGUCCCUGAACUGAUACCACCCUGGAGGCCUCCCGUCCUGUACAAGCCUGUCCCUAGAGGCCUCCAGAGUGCCCACCCCCCUCCCCUCUGGAAGUUAAGUGGCGCGAAACUUGUGUUCCUGUUUUGUGUUUCUCCCCAUGUGCUUCCCGUGACCCAGUUUCUCCAUCUCGAUUUGAUUAGUCAUUUGGUUCAAGUGUGUCCCAUUAAUUCUCAUUUGUCUAUGUAUUUAAGCCCCAGUCUGUUCAGUCUUUGGUGUUCCAGUCACCAUUAUGUUAUGCUGUGUUUUUCCCUUACCAUUCUGCCCAUGUUCUAAGUUUGUUCAUUAAAUGAAGUGAGUUUGAACUGCACCUCCUGUCUUUGCCCUCCUUCCUGUAUCACCAUGACAAUCAUGGUUUACACAAAUAUUAAGCACCACAACUGUUUUCAAGAUUGAUAAGAAUAAUCAUAUUUCUUGAACACCAAAUCAGCAUAUUAGAAGAAUGAUUUGGUUUGCAUAGUCUUAAAAUAUUAAAAAUUUUAAAAUCAAAUAAAAUAGAAAAGUUAUUUUAAAUUAUAAUAAUAUUUUAAAAUUAAAAUAACUGUUUUGCUGUAUUUUUGUGUAAAUAAAUCCACCCUUGGUUAGCAUAACACGUUACUACAAAAAAUGCAAAAGAAAAGAUUUCUGAGACAAUAUUUACACACGAUAUUUUCAAAUGUAAAGGGG